GGUCGCCUGGCUCAACUGGACAGAGCACCGCAUUCCUACCGCGGAGGUUGCCGGUUCGAGUCCGGCGGCGAUCGCCA
rnacentral:tRNA from 1 species